GACGAACGCUGGCGGCGUGCCUAAUACAUGCAAGUAGAACGCUGAAGAGAGGAGCUUGCUCUUCUUGGAUGAGUUGCGAACGGGAGAGUAACGCGUAGGUAACCUGCCUUGUAGCGGGGGAUAACUAUUGGAAACGAUAGCUAAUACCGCAUAACAAUGGAUGACACAUGUCAUUUAUUUGAAAGGGGCAAUUGCUCCACUACAAGAUGGACCUGCGUUGUAUUAGCUAGUAGGUGAGGUAAUGGCUCACCUAGGCGACGAUACAUAGCCGACCUGAGAGGGUGAUCGGCCACACUGGGACUGAGACACGGCCCAGACUCCUACGGGAGGCAGCAGUAGGGAAUCUUCGGCAAUGGGGGCAACCCUGACCGAGCAACGCCGCGUGAGUGAAGAAGGUUUUCGGAUCGUAAAGCUCUGUUGUAAGUCAAGAACGGGUGUGAGAGUGGAAAGUUCACACUGUGACGGUAGCUUACCAGAAAGGGACGGCUAACUACGUG
rnacentral:rRNA from 1 species